GUAGUCCACGCCGUAAACGGUGGAUGCUGGAUGUGGGGACCAUUCCACGGUCUCCGUGUCGGAGCCAACGCGUUAAGCAUCCCGCCUGGGGAGUACGGCCGCAAGGCUAAAACUCAAAGAAAUUGACGGGGGCCCGCACAAGCGGCGGAGCAUGCGGAUUAAUUCGAUGCAACGCGAAGAACCUUACCUGGGCUUGACAUGUUCCCGACAGCCGUAGAGAUACGGUCUCCCUUCGGGGCGGGUUCACAGGUGGUGCAUGGUCGUCGUCAGCUCGUGUCGUGAGAUGUUGGGUUAAGUCCCGCAACGAGCGCAACCCUCGCCCUGUGUUGCCAGCACGUCGUGGUGGGAAC
rnacentral:rRNA from 1 species